rnacentral:rRNA from 1 species
UACGUAGGGGGCUAGCGUUGUCCGGAAUCAUUGGGCGUAAAGAGCGUGUAGGCGGCCCGGUAAGUCCGCUGUGAAAGUCGGGGGCUCAACCCUCGAAUGCCGGUGGAUACUGUCGGGCUAGAGUGCGGAAGAGGCGAGUGGAAUUCCUGGUGUAGCGGUGAAAUGCGCAGAUAUCAGGAGGAACACCAAUUGCGAAGGCGGGUCUCUGGGCCGUAACUGACGCUGAGAAGCGAAAGCGUGGGGAGCGAACAGG